rnacentral:lncRNA from 1 species
ACAAGAAAUCAAAGCCCCUUAAGCAGGAAAGAUUUUCAUUUUCAUUUUCAGUCUUAAAUUGACAAGUAAGAUGGCAUGCAGACCUUUUUCCCCUUUGUUCUACGCCAGAGCAAGACUUUGUUAAAGAAACAGUAUUAGAGUUUCCCACCAACUCUUGACUGCUCACCAUUUAAGAGUCAUUUUUAUACAGGGUCAUGCCUUUGUAGUCAAGAGCCUACAUUCUUGGUAAUGCCCUUUGAGAUUUUCCCACAUGCUGGGUGCCCAUGGGGGUAGAGUCUCCUCCACCAAAACCUUGGUUGCAGUCAUGAGCUUUGCUCAUCCCCCCACGGUGGGUUUCUCACUCCGGGUGUGUAUUGGUCGAUAACCCUUUGAGUCUCUGGAGUUGGUCUCUCUGUGUUCCGUGGCAAUGGUUUGUGCUCAGCUUGGUUUGGGAAAUCUUUGAUGCAGCACAGAAGCUGUCUUCCCUCUUUGGUCUUUGUCCCCGUGGGGCAGAAGCUGCAAUUUCUCAAGAAGAAAGAAAUGAUAGUUGCUGAAACGGAGCCUGCUCCUAUUGUUAAGAGGCCCCGUGAGACAGGUAAAGACCGUGCCUUUCUCCACAGAAUCAAUUUCAUCUUGUAAGCACGGCCAAACAGAAACAUGCUACCGAAGUCAGAAAAUCAGAAAAUCAGAAAAUCACCGGAGAGGCCCGUCACACACAUUUACCUUAUGCAGACUGAACACUAUGUGCCGGGGGUGAGAGCCACACAGGUAGAUCAGCCUGCUUCCAGGCACGGGAGUUCUGUCUGCCUUUCGCUGAGGAGCAGAAGCCCUGUGGGAAGCAGGAGUGGAGCGCCACUUCUGAGUGAGGGUCACUCAUUUCAUCUGAUGUUGGGAAGAAAUGACAGUCUGACCCAAUGAGGGAGCACAAAUUUGGGCUCCUAAAAGAGUCUUUGUUCAAGAGACUGAUUGUGUCGCAUUUUGCUUCUCUUCCAUUUUUGAGUCCUGUCUUCACACCUGACCCUCAAAGAAGACGCAACAUCAAGGUCCACCCGAAUACCUGGAACCACCAUGAGCAUGACAACAGCCGGUCACACUCGUGUGGUUCAGGGAGUCAGAGGCUGUGAGUGCCAGAGGGAACCUCGGGAUCAUCUGAGUCAUCCUCCCCAUUCUCAGGGAAACCUAUGCCAGAGAAAGAAGUUGGUUUUCCGAGGGCCCCAUCUGUGAUGGAGCUGAGCCUGACCCCGUCCCCCAUGUCUGCUCUGAUGCUCCCCUCCAGCCCUGCCUCCUGCCACAAUGUUUGUGUGGGGCCUUGAAGAGGGCAUGGCCUGCUUUAAAUGUUCCCAUGUAGAUCUGGGGUAUGUCUGGCAGUUAUUCCUACUCGUUUGGUGAUAGAGCAAAUGGAGGCUUCAGAUGGAAGCGUCUGAAUGGAUCUCUUGUUAGCAAAUUUAUAUCAUUUCAUCCAUCUGCCGACCAGGUAUCUCUGCACGCAGGGAACUUUUAUUCUUUUGGUGGGGAGAGAGAAAUACUAAGUUGGAUAUUGGCAAGCACUAAGAAGCACUAAGAAGAAAGAACUGAGAAAGGAAAAGAAAGUGUUGCAGUCUUUAAUGCUGGCUCAGCAAGGCCUCACUGAGCCGGUCAGCAGUGACGGGAGUGGUGAGCACCAUGCGCAAGGGCAGGCAAGUGAGUGCGGAGACUUCCAGGGGGCCCUGAGGCCUGAGCCGAGGCUGCUGGGGCUGGAGCAGCCUGAGCAGGGGAGGGCUGUGCUCAGUGUCAUCUGAGCAGCAAUGACCCCCAUGGGGCCUGGAGGCCAGUGGAGGGACAUUGGUUAACGUGGGUUAACAUGGCCUUUUUUGAAAAGGGUCGCCUUGGGAACGUACUGAGACUAGGUUGUAGGGAGAAGCUGGGUGGACUCCAGGAGACCAGUUAGGUCAUUGUGCUAAGCCAAGUUGGAGUGAUCGGUGGUGGCUUGGAGCAAGAGGGUGGUAAUAGUGGCUGGAUUUGACUCUGGUUUGAAAGUUGAGCUGAUGAAAGGGUUUGCUUAUGAAUCAGAGGAACGAGUGAGAGGGUAGUUGAAGAUGGCUCCAAGGUUUAUGCCUCACUGGCAGGGAGGGUAGAGUUGCCAUUCCUGAGUGGCUGGUAGGAGAGGUUCUGAGUUUGGAAGGAUGGCAGGAGCUUAGUCUUGGAUGGGUGCCGUUUGUGUGGCCUGUUGCACAUCCUAAUCAUUCAACACUCUUAGUCAAAACCCCACGGGUCUUUACGUUGUCCUCCCAGGCAGUCGUUGAUUUCUGCCCCCGUUUUGAGGUCCUUGUGUCCACUGUGGAAUGCUGGACUGUCCUUUAGGGCCGAUGGCUGGAUGGAGGCUUUAGGGCCCACUGGUUCCCACUUUCCUGCCUGAGGUCAGAGCCAGCUGUCAUCUCGGAGCUUCAUGUUCUUCCUUUCCAGUGUGGACAUGGCGAUGUCUCAUCAGGAAGUUGCAAGGAACAACAGGAGGAUGGUGGUGGUAGCUUUCCUAGAUUGAGGUAUUCACGGUAGAUGUGCGCGAAUGACGGGUGAGUGUGGAGGAGAAUCUGAAGAGGUAGAGAGAGCGCCUUUUACGAACCCUUGCGUCUCCGGGAUGGAUGUGUGCAUGGAUAACCGGGGACAAUACAAAACCAAACACACCCCACACCUCUGCAGUUCUGUUAUUUUUCUCCAGUUUACCAGUGUAGUUUUAAUUCUGUUCCUUUUCUCUAGAGAAGUUCCUUAUAAAUAAUCUCCCUCUCACAUUCCUUGUAAGUGUUCGGGAUAUGUGUUUGUCCUGAAAUACGUGUGUGAGUCUGCAUCCAUCCGUAGAAGUGUGUAUGCAUAGGCGCAUGUUUGUGGACAGAAACAGCCCAGCACUUCCGGAGCUUUCAGCUGUCCCUGUACGUGGCAUUGGGCCUACCUAACCUUUGCUUCUUUGCCGUAGACUCUCCAUCUGCAAAAUAGAGACAAUCCUUGCAGCUUUUCUUCUCUCUGGGAGGUUAAUGAUUGAGUGUAUGUAUAGUGCUGGGAAGCCUUUGAAGUAAAAUCACAAAGUACAUGUGUAUUAUUUUUGUAGCUCUAAUGGUAUUUAUAUUUAAAUCAUUAUUAUUACAAUAAUAAUACACUGGUUUGCCAAUAAAACACAAACCACUUCAGAAGAACGUUCUAAAAUGGUAGCAUUUUCUGAGGCCGGGCAGCAGUGUCUAAUUUUGGGCCUUCACAGUCAGUUUCGCGAUUCAUGUGUUAUGCAUUUUCAAAGAAUAAUCAAGAGCAUGCAGGAUUGCCCGGGGCAGUGAGUACUGAAAAUGUACAGUUGGGCCAGUUGUGCUAAGAGAGUGAUGGGACAUCUGCACGGACAUGGCUGUAUUUCACGCCAGUUAGGGGCUGUCACUGCAGCCGGCGCCAUCUUGGAGCCCUCGGAGCUUGACUUGGUGAUAAUGCGUCAUCAGAGCUGAGCACCUUGUGUCAGCUGUCCAGUUACAGCGAGGUGUAAAGUGGACGAGUGUCUCAGUGAUGACUGAUGGGUUUUUUCUUUCAGAUCCAUGCAAAAUUCAUAAACCUGAUUUAUAACCAGUGGAAUUUGUGCUGCCGGAAGCAGAAGGCUCAAAUGCGGAGCUUUGUUUUGUAGGAAAUGUCUUUCUUUAAGGUGUCCUGAUGCUUUCAUCCCUGAGCACAUCCAGGUGAUGACACCAGAGGCUCUGCAUGAGGGGAGACGAGGAAGCAGGUGUACCUGGUCUCCUUUCAUCUUGCAGGAAAUCCCAUUUAGCUUAUUGGAGUUGGACCAAUGAUCACAUUAAGAGCAGAAGUCACAGAGCAGGCUGUUUGUUACGAGUUUUGUAAAUAAGAUGUAUCCUGCUGAGCCCCACAGCACAGGGCACGUGGAUGUCCACAGGGGGACAGAUUGUGGCCAGGCACCCUUGGCAAGCAAGUUCUUACUGAGGUCAGAAGUGACUGGCCUGCCCUGUGGGUGGUUGACACUUUGCAGCCAUCAUAUCCCUCACAGCAUGUCCACAUCUUUGAAAGCAUUUUCCUCCCAGGCUCCGGGACAGCAAGCCUUCCUGGCCUUGGCAUUCCUGUGGACCCUGUCCCUCCUCACCAUCAUUUUCGGCUUCUGUGUGUGCCGCUUGUCCUCCUCUGCCUGGGCUGUUGGUUCUCUCGAGCUUUCUUCUUGACCUUCUCCCCUUUCAUCCUGCGUUCUCCACUCUUGCAUGCUAGUGUCUUCAUUGAACUGUGUACUUAAAGGUCCACAAGUGGCUUUUAGCAGGUUUAGGAGCCUCCUGACAUGAUACCAAAUGUUAUAUCUCUGUACGUUUUUCUGGAUAAAGGAAGCAUCGUUUUUAUCAGUUUUGGGUGUGGGUGUUGGCCUGCAAGGUUAAGAUGUCGUGCUCUGAAAUGUCAGCUUUCUAGCCCAGAUCUGUGUCCUGAGCUCCACUCCCUUGUAUCCACCUGCCUCCUUGCCAGCUCCUUGAAGAUGCUGGUACCACAGAGUCCAGUGCUGGAGGCAGAGGCAGCAUGCUGUCCCACACCUGCUGCCUUGGCCAUAUUCUUUGGUCAGUACAUCUGCCCAGUCUGCUGAAACCUGAGGGCCCCUGGAUUCUCUCUCUCAACCCCUCAGCAUUGUUGGUACCAGAGCUGACUCUGUCCCUGGUCACCCUCUCCUGUCCUCCACGUCAGGACCACCCCGUUGUCUCCUGCCUCUGGCCACCCUCUUGCCACAUUGCUUGGAUGGCCUUUCACCAGGUCUGAUCCGAGGGUGGUCUCGUCUUUGUCUUAGCAGCCGAGGUCUGUGACCUUGACCACCUGGUGAAGUGUUUGCUGUAAAGUCACUCUUUUUUCCUUGCUUCCCAUACUGCACUCUCUGGAAGGAAGUCACUGUGUGCAGCCCACACUGAACGGGUGGGGGUCAUACUUCACUUCCUUGAGGGGAGAGCAUGUUCAGAAAUUAUUUGGAAUUUUUUUGCAUGAGAGACUUUUCUGUUUUCCACAUUUAAUUUAUCCAAUUAUUUAUAUCAAUAUGAAUUUUAAAAUACUUCAUAUUUCGAGUUGCAGUCAAUAUUACAUUAUAUGUUUUAUUGCUCAGAUUGAUUCACCUUUGCCAUUGGAUGGUCUUUCUGUUGGCCCCUGGGUUCCAUGACACACUCUCAUCUGUGUGUGUGUGUGGCCAUUUCUCCAAGGAGCCCUAGUUCCUUUUAUUGGUGGAUUGUAUUAAAACCAAGAUCUGUAUGCCUGGUAUGUUCCUUGUCAAUUAUCUUUUAAAGAAAUUAUUUAAAAAAUGCCUUUCAUAUUUACCUUCAUUUUUAUAAUUUCCUGUUUUUUUUCAUUUAUUUUUGUAGGUCUGUAUCUACUUGGCCUUAAACAUGAUUUCUUUUGCCUGAAGAACUUUAACACUUUUUGUAGCUUUAGUUUGUCUGAAAAAACAUUUCACUUUGUUUUUGAAACAUAUUUUUACUGGGUACAGAAUCCUGGGUUACCAGUUUUAUUCCCAGUCCUUUAACACUGUCAUUCUAUUGUCUUUUUGUCCUGCAUAAUUUCGGAUUGGAAGUCUUUUGUCAUUAUUAUCUUUGGUCCAUGGCUUAGGAUUUGAUAGAAUUCUGUCAAAGUUAGCCAAAUCUAAUAUUAACAUUGACUGAGUAUUUACCUCUAUCAGGUGCUUUGUUCAGCUUAGCUGUGCAUGUGUGUGAUUCUCCCAACACCCUUAAGAGGGAGGCAGGGAGGGAGGUGGCAUUUUUCCAUGUAUAGGUAAGGAAGCUGAGAGUUGAUCAGGUUAACUGAUUUGUUGAAGGCCACUUAACUAGGAGGUAGCAGAGCUGUGAUGGUCUGAUGCCAGAGACAGUCUGCAUCUUAACCACUUUAUUGAAUUCAUCCUCUUCAGAAGGUCGAGGAUCAGGUCACGGUCACACUAGUGUAGUUAAAAUGCUGUUACCACAGUAGCAAGUCCACAGGGCCCAUAGGCACUAGAGUCAGACAGGUCCACAGUAGCAAGUCCACAGGGCCCAUAGGCACUAGAGUCAGACAGGCCCCAGCCCCAGUCCCGCUCUGCUUCUUGCAGGCUGCGUGACUUUGAACAUGUCCUUUGCCUUGCUCAGUUUGUGUUUUACCUCUUAAAUAGGUGAGAGCUGCUGUUUGCUUUAGAUCAGGAUUAAGAAACGUGAUGCGUGUAUGUGAGUACUGCGGUCAACACUGGGAAGUGUUUCUUGGUUGGGGUGUGCUCAUUCCUAUCUGUUGAAUGAACGAAUUGGAUUUUGUGCAGGUCAGAUACGUUGAUUUCCUUGUUCAAGGCGGAGAGUUGUGGGCAUAGCACACACUCGAGCAUCUUGCCUCACAUUUCAACCCCUCUCAUUGGCCCCCUCUCCUGGGCUCAUCUUUCCAAAGCACAGCCCUCAUGACGUCACUAUGUCUGUGGCUCCAUGCUCUGGGUGGAGAGCAGGAGCUGAGGACGCCGAGCUGAGUGAUGUGGAGGAUGGGACAAAACAGCCACCGAACGUGGCUGAGUACCAGCGUGUGUUCAGCUGAUUCGUUUGGGCUGGAGUGAAAUGGGUCAUCUACCCAUUAGGGAUCUAAUUGGAAAUAAUACUGUGCAAUUUAAUACAGUGAUUUCUUAACAUUUUUUUAGCCCAAAUUAGCAAAAUGCUUCAAAAUGUUACAGGCAAGUGAAGUGGAAAUAAUUGAAUCCCAGGAAAGGAUAAAUGGAUUGUAUUGGAAUAUUUCAAGGAGGAAUUUCUGAUCAGCUUAGGAAGCGAAGGGGUUAUCCUUGUGAUAUUUUAUUGAACCACAAAAUGUUAUUUAUAACCCAUGUCAGGAGCAAUUAAACUGAUUGAUGAUUAAGGAAGUUUAAUAGUUGAAUAAUAAGACGCGGCUUUUGAGAGCUGUUUUUUCUCAUUCUGGAAGCGUAUUUCGUGAGUCUAGUAACAGUGUUAAGGACAGGCCAUUGCUAUGCUGUGGGGUCAUUAUGUGGUGGUAAUGUUCAGCGUAGUGUUACGUGGUAUGUUACUUAUAAAAAAUUAAAAAUUAAAAUACCAAUUAUGUUUGUUUGAUUUGUUAUUGAAGUGGUUUGUUAAUUUUGAUUUACCCAAAGCAGGGUUAAUUACUACAUAUUGAUAUAUUUGAUUAAAAGUACGCUAACGAUGAAUAAGAAAGGCCAAACAAAAUAAAUUAUUUUCCACUCACCCUGAAUAGUUUCAGAAUUUUAGCAGUCUUUCAUGUUUAUGUAAAAAGGCAGCUUCACACUGGAAGGAUUUGCUGUGAUUGGCAGCUUCUUAGGCAUAUGUAUCAGCAGAGGCCGUAUUUGCAUUUUGAAAACAACCUAUGCUACUCACCUUGACACGUUUUCGUUUGUGUGUGUGUGGUAGUAUUUGUCUUUAUGAGCCAUUUCUUAUGUUCGGGAAGAUUAAUAAAUUAAAAUUCUUUCUUUUAGAAAUAAGCAGACAUGUUACAAAGUAGGAAACACAAAUGACUAAUAAGCUGAAAAAACCGUCUAACUUCACAGGUGAGGUGAAGUUGACACUCUUCCAGUCUUUUGCUGUGAAACAACCAUUCUGGAAAGCAGUUUGCUGGCCACUGAACAGCCCAGUGCCUCCCUGUCCCGAGGACAUAGAAGGUGAUGUGUGUGAAGGCUGAGCACGGGGCUCCCUGUGGAGGCAAAUGUUUGCAUGAGUUGAGGCUUGAACCAGCCCAGAUGCCCACCGAUAGAGGAAGUUUAAAGCCAUUGGGUACAUUGAUUUCUGUGUCGCCCUAAACAUGAUUUCAUAAAAACCUUUUUCAGUAUGUGAAAAUGAUCAGGGUAUAAAUAAAAACAAUAGGACAUAAAACUUCA